CAGCCGCCACGGUAAUACGAAGGGGGCUAGCGUUGUUCGGAUUUACUGGGCGUAAAGCGCACGUAGGCGGAUCGAUCAGUCAGGGGUGUAAUCCCAGAGCUCAACUCUGGAACUGCCUUUGAUACUGUCGAUCUGGAGUAUGGAAGAGGUGAGUGGAAUUCCGAGUGUAGAGGUGAAAUUCGUAGAUAUUCGGAGGAACACCAGUGGCGAAGACGGCUCACUGGUCCAUUACUGACGCUGAGGUGCGAAAGCGUGGGGAGCAAACAGGAUUAGAUACCCGAGUAGUCCCUGUCUCUUAUAA
rnacentral:rRNA from 1 species